AACGAACGCUGGCGGCAGGCCUAACACAUGCAAGUCGAACGCCGUAGCAAUACGGAGUGGCAGACGGGUGAGUAACACGUGGGAACGUACCCUUCGGUUCGGGAUAACUCAGGGAAACUUGAGCUAAUACCGGAUACGUCCGAGAGGAGAAAGAUUUAUUGCCGAGGGAUCGGCCCGCGUCUGAUUAGCUUGUUGGUGAGGUAACGGCUCACCAAGGCGACGAUCAGUAGCUGGCUGAGAGGAUGAUCAGCC
rnacentral:rRNA from 1 species